GUGUCAUGUUAAUGGUUGGACCUAACUGAGAUUUUCAGUGGAGGCACCACAUGCCUGCUGAAGGGAUGCCUGGGGCACAACUUAUUGCUAGAAGUUGUUUGAAAAAAUAAUUUGUUAUGAACCUACCCAUGGAUGCACUAAGAUUGGUCGAGCCACACUCGAACCUGAAUACAGCCUAUGUAGAUUCUAGUACCCGCUAA
rnacentral:lncRNA from 1 species